rnacentral:rRNA from 1 species
GGACGGGUGAGUAAUGCCUAGGAAAUUGCCUUGAUGUGGGGGAUAACCAUUGGAAACGAUGGCUAAUACCGCAUAAUGCCUACGGGCCAAAGAGGGGGAUCUUCGGACCUCUCGCGUCAAGAUAUGCCUAGGUGGGAUUAGCUAGUUGGUGAGGUAAUGGCUCACCAAGGCGACGAUCCCUAGCUGGUCUGAGAGGAUGAUCAGCCACACUGGAACUGAGACACGGUCCAGACUCCUACGGGAGGCAGCAGUGGGGAAUAUUGCACAAUGGGCGAAAGCCUGAUGCAGCCAUGCCGCGUGUAUGAAGAAGGCCUUCGGGUUGUAAAGUACUUUCAGUUGUGAGGAAGGGGGUAACGUUAAUAGCGUUAUCUCUUGACGUUAGCAACAGAAGAAGCACCGGCUAACUCCGNGCCAGCAGCCGCGGNAAUACGGAGGGUGCGAGCGUUAAUCGGAAAUUACUGGGCGUAAAGCGCAUGCAGGUGGUUCAUUUAAGUCANANGUGNAAGCCCCGGGGCUCACCCUCGGAACUGCNUUUUGAAACUGG